rnacentral:rRNA from 1 species
GGCUCAGGAUGAACGCUGGCGGCAUGCCUAAUACAUGCAAGUCGAACGGGGUGCUUGCACCCAGUGGCGAACGGGUGAGUAACACGUAUCUAAUCUACCUCUUAGUGGGGGAUAACAGUUGGAAACGACUGCUAAUACCGCAUACGACACCAUUAUGGCAUCAGAAGGUGUUAAAAGGUCCGUUUGGACCGCUAGGAGAUGAGGAUGCGGCGUAUUAGCUAGUAGGUGAGGUAAUGGCUCACCUAGGCGAUGAUACGUAGCCGAACUGAGAGGUUGAUCGGCCACAUUGGGACUGAGAUACGGCCCAGACUCCUACGGGAGGCAGCAGUAGGGAAUUUUUCACAAUGGGCGAAAGCCUGAUGAAGCAAUGCCGCGUGAGUGAUGAAGGUCUUCGGAUUGUAAAGCUCUGUUGUAAGGGAAGAAAUGCUAGAAGAGGAAAUGCUUUUAGUUUGACGGUACCUUACCAGAAAGCCACGGCUAACUAUGUGCCAGCAGCCGCGGUAAUACAUAGGUGGCAAGCGUUAUCCGGAUUUAUUGGGCGUAUAGGGUGCGUAGGUGGUUAGUUAAGUUUGAGGUUAAAUCCCAGGGCUCAACCCUGGUCCGCCUUGAAAACUGGCUAACUAGAAUACAGGAGAGGUAGAUGGAAUUCCAUGUGUAGCGGUGGAAUGCGUAGAUAUAUGGAGGAACACCAGUGGCGAAGGCGGUCUACUGGCCUGUGAUUGACACUGAGGCACGAAAGCGUGGGGAGCAAAUAGGAUUAGAUACCCUAGUAGUCCACGCCGUAAACGUUGAGUACUAAGUGUCGGCAAUUUGUCGGUGCUGCAGCUAACGCAUUAAGUACUCCGCCUGAGUAGUAUGCUCGCAAGAGUGAAACUCAAAGGAAUUGACGGGGACCCGCACAAGUGGUGGAGCAUGUGGUUUAAUUCGAAGCAACGCGAAGAACCUUACCAGGGCUUGACAUCCAGUGCAAAACUACAGAGAUGUAGUGGAGGCCAACAUUGAGACAGGUGGUGCAUGGUUGUCGUCAGCUCGUGCCGUGAGGUGUUGGGUUAAGUCCCGCAACGAGCGCAACCCCUAUCGUUAGUUACUAACAUUAAGUUGAGCACUUUAACGAGACUGCUAGUGUAAGCUAGAGGAAGGUGGGGAUGACGUCAAAUCAUCAUGCCCCUUAUGUCCUGGGCUACACACGUGCUACAAUGGCUGAUACAAAGAGUCGCAAUCCUGUGAGGGGGAGCUAAUCUCAAAAAGUCAGUCUCAGUUCGGAUUGAAGUCUGCAACUCGACUUCAUGAAGCCGGAAUCACUAGUAAUCGCGAAUCAGCAACGUCGCGGUGAAUACGUUCUCGGGUCUUGUACACACCGCCCGUCACACCAUGAGAGUUGGUAAUACCAGAAGCACGUAUCUUAACCGUAAGGAGAGAGCGUACCAAGGUAGGAUUAGCGAUUAGGGUGAAGUCGUAACAAGGUAUCCGUACGGGAACGUGCGGAUGGAUCACCUCCUUUCUAUGGAGUAAUACAUAGAUAUAUAUAAGCUGAGUGAAUAUUAAUAGACAGCUUUUGGCUUGUAUCUUGGUUCUAUCUAGUUUUCAGAGAUUGUUUUAGUUUUUUUACAAACUUGACAAUUUCUGAAAAGAAAUCGUUCUUUGAAAACUGAAUAUUAGAUGAAUUAGACAAUUUUAUUUUUCUUACGUUUCAAUAUAAACGUAAUAGUAACUUAAAAAGUUUUACUAAGAAAACUAAAAUUUCAAUUUUAUAUAGAUUAUCUAUAUUUGCAAUAAGGUUUUUCUUUAGAAAGUAUAGUAAGGGCAUAUGGUGAAUGCCUUGGAAAAUGGAGCCGAUGAAGGACGUGACUACCUGCGAAAAGCGACGGGGAACUGGAAGUAAGUUUUGAUCCGUCGAUGUCCGAAUGGGGAAACCCGUUAUGAUUAAUCUCAUAACAUCUCUAACUGAAUACAUAGGUUAUUGAAGGGAACCUAGGGAACUGAAACAUCUUAGUACCUAGAGGAAAAGAAAACGAAUGUGAUUCUGUCAGUAGCGGCGAGCGAAAGCGGAACAGGCCAAACCGGUCUACGGGCCGGGGUUGUAGGACUCUUGUUAGAGUUACAAAAUUAGUGUAUAGCAGAAACUGUUGGGAAACAGUGGCAUAGAGUGUGAUACCCACGUAUGCGAAAUGCACUAAUCUCGAGAGAGUAUCCUGAGUACGGCGGGGCACGUGAAACCCUGUCGGAAUCUACCCAGACCACUGGGUAAGCCUAAAUACUACCAUUUUACCGAUAGUGAACCAGUACCGUGAGGGAAAGGUGAAAAGUACCCCGUGAGGGGAGUGAAAUAGUACCUGAAACCAUAUGCUUACAAGAAGUCAGAGCCCGUUAAUGGGUGAUGGCGUGCUUUUUGUAGAAAGAGCCGGCGAGUUACGAUAUCAUGCAAGGUUAAGUGGAAUACACGGAGCCGCAGUGAAAGCGAGCCUUAAUAGGGCGUUCAGUAUGAUGUCGUAGACACGAAACCAGGUGAUCUAGCCAUGAGCAGGUUGAAGUUAGGGUAAAACCUAAUGGAGGACCGAACCGACGUUCGUUGAAAUGACCGCGGAUGACUUGUGGCUAGGGGUGAAAUUCCAAUCGAACCUGGAGAUAGCUAGUUCUCCCCGAUAUAGCUUUAAGGCUAGCGUCGAGGUUAGGAUUAUGGAGGUAGAGCUCUGAAUGUAUGAUGGCCCCACCUAGGGGUACUGAUUACAAUUAAACUACGAAUGCCAUAAUUUCAUACUCGGCAGUCAGAACAUGGGUGAUAAGGUCCAUGCUCGUGAGGGAAACAGCCCAGAUCAACAACUAAGGUCCCUAAAUUUAUGCUAAGUGUGUAAGGAUGUGGGAGUGCAUAGACAGCUAGGAUGUUGGCUCAGAAGCAGCCAUCAUUUAAAGAGUGCGUAACAGCUCACUAGUCGAGUGCUCCUGCGCCGAAAAUGUACCGGGGCUUAAGCAUAGUACCGAAGUUUUGGAUUUACAGCAAUGUAAGUGGUAGGGGAGCGUUCUAACUGUAAUGAAGUUAAACCGUGAGGAUUAGUGGAACGGUUAGAAGUGAUUAUGCCGGCAUGAGUAACGUUUGGGAGUGAGAAUCUCCCAUGCCGUUUGACCAAGGUUUCCUGGGCAAGGUUCGUCCACCCAGGGUUAGUCAGGACCUAAGGCGAGGCCGAAAGGCGUAGUCGAUGGACAACAGGUUGAUAUUCCUGUACCACCUAAUAAAGUGAUGGAGUGACGGAGAAGGAUAGUGGAUGCCGGCUGAUGGUUAUGCCGGUCUAAAUACAAAGAGGUGUACGUUGGCAAAUCCGCGUGCUAUAACCUUGAAGUAUGAUGGGGAGUGAACGCUUCGGCAAGUAGCGAAGUCCAUGACUCCACGCUUCCAAGAAAAGCUUCUAGCGUUAAUUUAUUAGGUGCCUGUACCGAUAACGAACACACGUGGUCAAGGAGAGAAUCCUAAGGCAAGCGAGAUAACUAUAGCUAAGGAACUCUGCAAAAUGACCCCGUAAGUUCGCGAGAAGGGGUGCUCACUUUUAGUGAGCCGCAGUGAAAAGGGAGGGGCAACUGUUUAGCAAAAACACAGCUCUCUGCAAAGUCGCAAGACGAAGUAUAGGGGGUGACACCUGCCCAGUGCCGGAAGGUUAAGAGGAGAUGUUAGCUUCGGUGAAGCAUUGAAUUGAAGCCCCGGUGAACGGCGGCCGUAACUAUAACGGUCCUAAGGUAGCGAAAUUCCUUGUCAGGUAAGUUCUGACCCGCACGAAAGGUGUAAUGAUCCCUUCGCUGUCUCGGCUAUAGACUCGGUGAAAUUUUAGUACCAGUGAAGAUGCUGGUUACCCGCAACUAGACGGAAAGACCCCGUGGAGCUUUACUAUAACUUAAUAUUGAAUUUUGGUGUAACAUGUAGAGGAUAGGUGGGAGACUUUGAAGCGGUCACGCUAGUGGCUGUGGAGUCAUCCUUGGAAUACCACCCUUGUUAUAUUGAGAUUCUAACCUAGACCUGUUAUCCAGGUCAGGGACAGUGUUUGGUGGGUAGUUUGACUGGGGCGGUCGCCUCCUAAAGAGUAACGGAGGCGCUCAAAGGUACCCUCAGUACGGUUGGAAAUCGUACGCAGAGCGCAAAGGUAUAAGGGUGCUUAACUGCGAGACUUACAAGUCGAACAGAUGCGAAAGCAGGACUUAGUGAUCCGGCGGUCCCGUGUGGAAGGGCCGUCGCUCAACGGAUAAAAGUUACCCCGGGGAUAACAGGCUAAUCUCCCCCAAGAGUUCACAUCGACGGGGAGGUUUGGCACCUCGAUGUCGGCUCAUCGCAUCCUGGAGCUGUAGUCGGUUCCAAGGGUUGGGCUGUUCGCCCAUUAAAGCGGUACGUGAGCUGGGUUCAGAACGUCGUGAGACAGUUUGGUCCCUAUCUGUUGUGGGCGUAGGAAAAUUGAAGAGAGCUGUUCCUAGUACGAGAGGACCGGAAUGGACGCACCUCUGGUGCUCCUGUUGUCACGCCAGUGGCAUAGCAGGGUAGCUAUGUGCGGAAAGGAUAAUCGCUGAAGGCAUCUAAGCGAGAAGCCUCCUUUAAGAUGAAUUUUCCCAUUCUUUAAGAAGUAAGAUCCCAUGUAGACCACAUGGUUGAUAGGUUGGGUGUGUAAGCACGGUGACGUGUUAAGCUUACCAAUACUAAUAGAUCGAGGACUUUCAAAGAAAGAAUCUUAUAAACAAUUGCUUUAUAGAUAUAUAUAACAUCUAAUACUCAGUUUUGAGAGAAUGAUUUAGUUAUUUUUUUAAAAUAACUUCUCUCUCAAGCACAAGAUCUGGUGAUUAUGGUGCUGAGGUCACACCCGUUCCCAU